AAUUGUGAACGAACAGAAGCAGACAUCUAUAGCAGAUGAUGUGCAGAACAUACACAAAGCGAUCUCUUAGGUGACUGAAACAGCACAAUUCUUUGAUUUGAUUAAACGGAUUUAUAGUACCAUUUGAUGCUCUCCACAAUAUGGUCCUAGGCCAAGGUAGCUCUGCCACUUUUGUCUUAUCUGCACGAACACUCCCCGUGGCUGAAGUAGGUUUUGGCUUUUCAAGUGCAGUCCGCUCAAACAUACAAGGGCAUGGAACCAAACGAAACUGUUAGGGGGACAGCGCAAUCUUGGACUUAUCUGCUAUCCAUAAAACCAUCCACCAGCUGCUUGGUUCCUUGAUCUACCCAGCAUAUGCAACUAACUCAAAGCACAAGGAAGAAAUCUGGACCCACAAUAACGAACCAGUUUCUAGAAAUCAAAAGAAAAGGCCAAAAAA
rnacentral:misc_RNA from 1 species